CAGGCCUAACACAUGCAAGUCGAACGGCAGCGCGGGGAGCUUGCUCCCUGGCGGCGAGUGGCGGACGGGUGAGUAACGCGUGGGAAUCUGCCCGAUGGUGGGGGACGACCCGGGGAAACCCGGGCUAAUACCGCAUACGUCCUAUGGGAGAAAGGGGGCCUCUGCUUGCAUGCUCUCGCCGUCGGAGGAGCCCGCGUCCGAUUAGCUUGUUGGUGGGGUAAAGGCCUACCAAGGCGACGAUCGGUAGCUGGUCUGAGAGGACGAUCAGCCACACUGGGACUGAGAAACGGCCCAGACUCCUACGGGAGGCAGCAGUGGGGAAUACUGGACAAUGGGCGAAAGCCUGAUCCAGCAAUGCCGCGUGUGUGAAGAAGGCCCUCGUUGGUUGUAAAGCACUUUCAGUGGGGAAGAAAAGCCGGGUGCCAAUACCAUCCGGCCCUGACGUUACCCACAGAAGAAGCACCGGCUAACUCUGUGCCAGCAGCCGCGGUAAUACAGAGGGUGCGAGCGUUAAUCGGAAUUACUGGGCGUAAAGGGCGCGUAGGCGGCUUGGUAAGUUGGGUGUGAAAGCCUCGGGCUUAACCUGGGAAUUGCAUUCAAUACUGCCAGGCUGGA
rnacentral:rRNA from 1 species